GACGAACGCUGGCGGCGUGCUUAACACAUGCAAGUCGAACGGAAAGGCCCUGCUUUUGUGGGGUGCUCGAGUGGCGAACGGGUGAGUAACACGUGAGUAACCUGCCCUUGACUUUGGGAUAACUUCAGGAAACUGGGGCUAAUACCGGAUAGGAGCUCCUGCUGCAUGGUGGGGGUUGGAAAGGUUCGGCGGUUGGGGAUGGACUCGCGGCUUAUCCGCUUGUUGGUGGGGUAGUGGCUGACCAAGGCUUUGACGGGUAGCCGGCCUGAGAGGGUGACCGGCCACAUUGGGACUGGGAUACGGAGCAGACUCCUACGGGAGGCAGCAGUGGGGAAUAUUGCACAAUGGGCGGAAGCCUGAUGCAGCAACGCGGCGGGCGGGAUGACGGCCUUGGGGUUGUAAACCGCUUUCGCCUGUGACGAAGCGUGAGUGACGGUAAUGGGUAAAGAAGCACCGGCUAACUAC
rnacentral:rRNA from 1 species